CAGUCGCCACGGUAAUACGGAGGGUGCAAGCGUUAAUCGGAAUUACUGGGCGUAAAGCGCACGCAGGCGGUCUGACAAGUCAGAUGUGAAAUCCCCGGGCUUAACCUGGGAACUGCAUUUGAAACUGUCAGGCUGGAGUCUUGUAGAGGGGGGUAGAAUUCCAGGUGUAGCGGUGAAAUGCGUAGAGAUCUGGAGGAAUACCGGUGGCGAAGGCGGCCCCCUGGACAAAGACUGACGCUCAGGUGCGAAAGCGUGGGGAGCAAACAGGAUUAGAUACCCCAGUAGUCCCUGUCUCUUAUAA
rnacentral:rRNA from 1 species